rnacentral:lncRNA from 1 species
AAGUAUGCGAUGUAAUUAAAGAAAUUAUUGGAUAACCUCUACAAAUAAAGAUAGGGGAACUCUGAAAGAGAAAGUCCUUUUGAUUUCCAUUUGACUGCUUUCUAUGAGCCCACGCCUCAUCUUCCCCUGUGCACAUGUUUACCUGACACAGCAGUGCUGCGUGUUGUACAUACUUGGAACAACAAACUAGAAAUACUGUACUUCUGUACCAACAUUGCCUCCUAGCAGAGAAGUGUGUGUGUGAGAAGCCAGUUCUCCGGGCGUAACCUAGGUGUGAGACUAAAAGCUUUCCUUAUUGACUUAACUUUGGAUAAUGGCAAGAUGUGAUGGGUAGUGGGUACACAGCGUGUGCUUGAAUGGGAGGAAAAAGCUCCAGUGACCCAUAGGAGAUGGUCCUUAAGUGGACUCCAUCUAAUCCCCUAACAGUCGUGAACAGCAUGGUGAAGAGCGUGAAGCUGUUUCUGUAUUCCUUUCAUCCUGAAAGACCUACAGCUUAGG